AGAGUUUGAUCAUGGCUCAGAACGAACGCUGGCGGCGUGCCUAACACAUGCAAGUCGAACGGAAUUGAGGGGCUUGCUCCUUAAUUUAGUGGCGCACGGGUGAGUAACGCGUGGAUAAUCUGCCCUGGUGUCCGGGAUAACAUUUCGAAAGGGGUGCUAAUACCGGAUAAGCCCACGAGGUCCUCGGACUUUGCGGGAAAAGGUGGCCUCUAUAUAUAAGCUACUGUAUCAGGAUGAGUCCGCGUACCAUUAGCUAGUUGGCGGGGUAACGGCCCACCAAGGCGACGAUGGUUAGCUGGUCUGAGAGGAUGAUCAGCCACACUGGAACUGAGACACGGUCCAGACUCCUACGGGAGGCAGCAGUGGGGAAUUUUGCGCAAUGGGGGAAACCCUGACGCAGCAACGCCGCGUGAGUGAUGAAGGCCUUCGGGUCGUAAAGCUCUGUCAGAGGGAAAGAAGUGUAUUGUGGUUAAUACCCAUGAUACUGACGGUACCUCAAAGAGC
rnacentral:rRNA from 1 species